GCCCAGGUAGCUCAGUCGGCAGAGCAGAGGACUGAAAAUCCUCGUGUCGGUGGUUCGAUUCCGCCCCUGGGCA
rnacentral:tRNA from 1 species